ACUCGCGAAUGCUCUAGAUAAAGUUUGAUCAUGGCUCAGCCUUGAGACGCUUAGCGGCAGGCCUAACACAUGCAAGUCGAACGGUAACAGGAAGCAGCUUGCUGCUUCGCUGACGAGUGGCGGACGGGUGAGUAAUGUCUGGGAAACUGCCUGAUGGAGGGGGAUAACUACUGGAAACGGUAGCUAAUACCGCAUAACGUCGCAAGACCAAAGAGGGGGACCUUCGGGCCUCUUGCCAUCGGAUGUGCCCAGAUGGGAUUAGCUAGUAGGUGGGGUAACGGCUCACCUAGGCGACGAUCCCUAGCUGGUCUGAGAGGAUGACCAGCCACACUGGAACUGAGACACGGUCCAAGACUCCUACGGGAGGCAGCAGUGGGGAAUAUUGCACAAUGGGCGCAAGCCUGAUGCAGCCAUGCCGCGUGUAUGAAGAAGGCCUUCGGGUUGUACAGUACUUUCAGCGU
rnacentral:rRNA from 1 species